rnacentral:lncRNA from 1 species
CUUAUAUCAAGUGCAUCAAGAACAACACAAAACAUUUCCCUGUAGCUCCUUCACUUACUCAUUUCUUCUACCUUAAAAAAUGUCGUCCAAGGCAGAUCUUGCAAGAAUAGGAAAGGAAGGCUUCGCCAUACUUGAUGCAUAUUAUGGAAGAAACAAGAGGCCUAAUCCACCAAAACCUUAUUCACAAGAAACUAGGAGGUCCUUUUUUCACCAAUACCAACCACAACAGGCUCUUGUUUAUCAGGUAAAACCAGAUGAGAAUAUUAAUUGCUAUGAGGUGUUGCAGUUUAAUGAAGAUGGAAUGGUCAAGGAUAAUAGGAGGAAAUCUUAAGCUAUGGCUUAGACUCUCUUUUGCACUGUGUUUUAUAUGUAAUAUGAUGUAUAUAGGCACAGAUAAGUAUGCUCCCUUUACAUGACACAAAAGUGGAGCCAGUUGUAUAAAUACUAGUCACCUGGAAGUUUUAAGGGUAUGGAUGAAGUUUGUAACACUUUGUUAUAUGUAUUGAAGUGAUAUUAGAUGUAGUAAUAUUACAUUUUCUAUUAUAAUUAGUCUAAAAUUUAUGGAUUUGAAAAGUUCUCUAAAAGGAGCCUCACAAGAACAUAGGCCACUUCGUUCAGAUUUUUCUUAGCUACCUUUUCCUCCCACCACACAUUCAGAUAUAUAAAGGGAUUUCACUUUGUAUCAAAUGUAUCAUGAACAACG